CAGCAGCCGCGGUAAUACGUAGGGUGCAAGCGUUAAUCGGAAUUACUGGGCGUAAAGCGUGCGCAGGCGGUUAUAUAAGACAGAUGUGAAAUCCCCGGGCUCAACCUGGGAACUGCAUUUGUGACUGUAUAGCUAGAGUACGGCAGAGGGGGAUGGAAUUCCGCGUGUAGCAGUGAAAUGCGUAGAUAUGCGGAGGAACACCGAUGGCGAAGGCAAUCCCCUGGGCCUGUACUGACGCUCAUGCACGAAAGCGUGGGGAGCAAACAGGAUUAGAUACCCCAGUAGUCCCUGUCUCUUAACA
rnacentral:rRNA from 1 species